rnacentral:tRNA from 1 species
GGAGAGGUGGCCGAGUGGCCGAAGGCGGCGGUUUGCUAAACCGUUAUAUGGGGUUAUACCCGUAUCGAGGGUUCGAAUCCCUCCCUCUCCG